rnacentral:rRNA from 1 species
ACUCAAAUGAAUUGACGGGGGCCCGCACAAGCGGUGGAGCAUGUGGUUUAAUUCGACGCAACGCGAAGAACCUUACCAAGGCUUGACAUCCUACGAAUCCUGAGGAAACUUAGGAGUGCCCUUCGGGGAGCGUAGAGACAGGUGGUGCAUGGUUGUCGUCAGCUCGUGUCGUGAGAUGUUGGGUUAAGUCCCGCAACGAGCGCAACCCCUAUGUUUAGUUGCUAACGAGUAAGGUCGAGCACUCUAGACAGACUGCCGGUGAUAAACCGGAGGAAGGUGGGGAUGACGUCAAAUCAUCAUGCCCCUUAUGUCUUGGGCUACACACGUGCUACAAUGGCCGGUACAGACGGACGCAAAGCCGCGAGGUGGAGCAAAUCCGAGAAAGCCGGUCUCAGUUCGGAUUGUUCUCUGCAACUCGAGAACAUGAAGUCGGAAUCGCUAGUAAUCGCAGGUCAGCAUACUGCGGUGAAUACGUUCCCGGGCCUUGUACACACCGCCCGU